rnacentral:misc_RNA from 1 species
GAAUAAGAAGGAGAAAACAACAGAAGAGAUUAAGAUUAUUAGGUUGGCCAAAAGUAAGUAUGAGCUAACUUUUCAGCAUACAACAGCAUCAAAAGAAUAUAUAAUUAAACAAAAUCAAACACAUUACCUACUCUUGUUUCUAAUAUCUUUAAAAAGUCUUCCUAUAUUAUUUGAUUUGCUACCUACUAAAUAAAUGGAGCCCACCAGCUCAUGAACAAUCCAGGUGACUUCACUACUGCUCAGGAUUUGAACAUGCUGAGAGUUAAAAGAGAAAAGGUACUUAAAAAGAUAGGCUAAGCUUAGCUUUCCAUUUAUUAAAAGCAUUAAUUUGAAUUUUCUCCAUUUCCAUUGUAGGGGUUAAAAUUAACUGUGGAAAUAAUAAUUAUGCAUAGUCUAAUAGGGAUAUGUUGAAACUAAAAAAGACAGACAAGACAAUAACCCAAGAAAGAGAAACAUAUGUGCUUGCUGCAGAGUUCUUCUUCAAGUAGCAGCCCAUUCUUUUCGAAUGUCAAAGGUGUAGUUGAUCUCCAAGUAGCACUUGUCAUCAUCAUCAAGAAACUUUGAUCUUGCAGUAUAUGAUCCUCUGGCAAACAAGCCUGAUGGGGUGGUCUCUUCAGGCAUCAGAUGAGUGUAAGGCUCUGGCUGAGGACUGAAAGUCCCAAGCAUCUCUUUUGAGCUGUCCACCUUGACACCAGUUUUCCAGACAGUGUUGGUGUAUUUGAGGCCAGAUACAAUGUUGUUGCUAACUUGGAAGGAGAACAUCAAGUUGUAAUGACUACCUUCUUUCAGUGUAAACCAUGAACCUUUUGGUUUUCCAUCCUCAGGGACAGAUAGCACAAUGUCUGGUCUGUCUGGGGAGAUAAUUGACAGACUAAGAAUUUUCACUUCUGGUUCAAGAGUUUCUCCAAUAUUUUCAAAAUCCACAGUCCCAAGAAGCUGUUCCUUCCAUUUUCUGAGGCUCUCAUCAUCCUUGUCCUUCUCAAGAUGUUCUUUGAGGGUACAUUGAGGACCAAGCUGAAUCUUGUUGCCAUCUUCAUCCUCCUCCUCCUCCUGAUCAGUAGCAUCCAUGGAAGUCCCACUUAUCUGCCUCCCAUAUUUGUCUGCUGAGCUUUCACCAUCCUCAUGAUGGGAUUUUUCUGUUUCCAAACCUGGAGUCUUGUCCUCAGCAUCCUCAUUUUUGUUUCCAUCAAGCCCCAUGUUAAUUAGUACUCGAACUGUGCACAGCUCCAACACCGAAAGACAUUAAAUCAAAAAGAGAUUGUUAUGUGCAACUAGAGAAAGAAGAUUAAACAAGAGAAACCAUAGUAAAGGAAAAAUGGGAACAGAGUAUAUGUCUUGAAAUGAGAAGACUUGUGCUGCUGUGUGUCAAAAGUGAGAAAGAAAAAGGGUGAAAAUUAUCUUUUUGUCUACAAGAUUAGACAAAGAAGACCAACAAGCGACAAAAGAGAAGCUGGGUUUGUAUUUCUUGAAAGCUUUUAGUGGUGGUUGUUGAUGCAAGUUGAAAUCUUUGCUGAUAGAGAGGCAGAGAGGCGAGAAAGAGAGAGAGAGAGAGAUGAGAAACGAGUAGUUUUGGAAGUUUGAGAAAAGGUCAUGCGGUGAUCCGAAAUAUGAUAGAGGGAGUGAACGUGAAAAACACUCUUGAGCGAUAAAUAGACUUUGAAGAAGCACAGUCACAGCCUAAAAUUGGGGUGAUGACCUUUGACCCAUUCUUUCCAGAAAUUUAAAUAGUGAGAUUGGUGGAGAAAUUGAAGAAUGAAUGG